GUCCAGACUCCUACGGGAGGCAGCAGUGGGGAAUAUUGCACAAUGGGGGAAACCCUGAUGCAGCGACGCCGCGUGAGCGAUGAAGUAUUUCGGUAUGUAAAGCUCUAUCAGCAGGGAAGAAAAUGACGGUACCUGACUAAGAAGCCCCGGCUAACUACGUGCCAGCAGCCGCGGUAAUACGUAGGGGGCAAGCGUUAUCCGGAUUUACUGGGUGUAAAGGGAGCGUAGACGGUCCUGCAAGCCAGAUGUGAAAGCCCGGGGCUCAACCCCGGGACUGCAUUUGGAACUGUAAGGCUAGAGUGUCGGAGAGGCAGGCGGAAUUCCUAGUGUAGCGGUGAAAUGCGUAGAUAUUAGGAAGAACGCCAGUGGAGAAGGCGGCUUUCUGGACUGAAACUGACGCUGAGGCACGAAAGCGUGGGGAGCGAACAG
rnacentral:rRNA from 1 species